GAUGAACGCUGGCGGCGUGCUUAACACAUGCAAGUCGAACGGUGAAGCAGGAGCUUGCUCCUGUGGAUCAGUGGCGAACGGGUGAGUAACACGUGAGCAAUCUGCCCUGGACUCUGGGAUAAGCGUUGGAAACGACGUCUAAUACCGGAUACGAGGCGUGGGGGCAUCCCCAACGCCUGGAAAGAACUUCGGUCCAGGAUGAGCUCGCGGCCUAUCAGGUAGUUGGUGAGGUAACGGCUCACCAAGCCUACGACGGGUAGCCGGCCUGAGAGGGUGACCGGCACCACUGGGACUGAGCCACGGCCCAGACUCCGCCGGGAGGCAGCAGUGGGGAAUAUUGCACAAUGGGCGCAAGCCUGAUGCAGCAACGCCGCGUGAGGGACGACGGCCUUCGGGUCGUAAAGCUCUGUCGCAGGGGAAUAACACAAUGAAUGUACCCUGUAAGAAAGGAUCGGCUAACUUCGUGCCAGCCGCCGCCGUAAGAC
rnacentral:rRNA from 1 species